AGUGAACGCUGGCGGUAGGCCUAACACAUGCAAGUCGAACGGCAGCACAGUAAGAGCUUGCUCUUACGGGUGGCGAGUGGCGGACGGGUGAGGAAUACAUCGGAAUCUACUUUUUCGUGGGGGAUAACGUAGGGAAACUUACGCUAAUACCGCAUACGACCUACGGGUGAAAGCAGGGGAUCUUCGGACCUUGCGCGAUUGAAUGAGCCGAUGUCGGAUUAGCUAGUUGGCGGGGUAAGGGCCCACCAAGGCGACGAUCCGUAGCUGGUCUGAGAGGAUGAUCGGCCACACUGGAACUGAGCCACGGUCCAGACUCCUACGGGAGGCAGCAGUGGGGAAUAUUGGACAAUGGGCGCAAGCCUGAUCCAGCCAUCCCGCGUGGGUGAAGAAGGCCUUCGGGUUGUAAAGCCCUUUUGUUGGGAAAGAAAAGCAGCAGGUUAAUACCCCGCUGUUCUGACGGUACCCAAAGAAUAAGCACCGGCUAACUUCGUG
rnacentral:rRNA from 1 species